AUGACCAUGUGCUAUCUUGUCAGUACAUGUCCCUGUAUAUCUCUUGCAGGAGCGGGUGCAGUGAUGUGUCCUCUGUUGUCUUGAUUUCCUGCACCAACUGCGCAUGCUCGGUGACCAGCUCCCGGAGGUCGGCCAGUUUCUGCAGCAGUCUGGGGAAGAGGAAGUUGUUGUCGGGGUGGUUGGCCAGCAGGUGGAGCCGUAGUGCCUGAACAAUGCUUUCUUGCAGCUGCUCGACCAGAGGCAUGUUGACCAGGCCUGGGCGAUCUGGUGGGGAAGGGAUCAGAUAGAGUUACCUCCGCAGCAGAUAAUAGUAGCCACAAAAAGCGCCAGGUCAGUGUCAUCCAGCUCCAGGGAGUUGAAGCGUGUGGCAAACUGGAAUUUGGGCUCCAUCAUAUCACUAAAUGGCCGCCGGAGGCUCUUGAGGAACUCUCUGGUGAUGAAGCCUCCACCACGUGCCACCAGGAGGCCGUCUUUGUUCAUGCAGGAGGCCAGGAGUGUGAAGAGGGCUUCGUAAACGCCGUACUUCAAGAGAGUCACCUAAACGGGCAGAAGAAAGGCAAAUGACAGAUGCAGCAUCCCUUAACACACCUGAUCAUUCAGAUCCAGGCUCUGGAAACCUGGCACCGCCUUGGCGAACUCCGUCAACUCUGUGACCGUCUCCACUGAGGUACUCUGGCAGCAGUGGAAGAGCCUGGCUUCGGCCUCCCUCUGCUGGAGCUCCCCACACCCCACAGCAGGAACAACCUCCCCAGCUUGAGGGACACUCUCGGGUUCUGCAUAGUCACCCUUUACCAUAUGGACCGCUAACGUCCUCUCUGCCAGCUGGAACGUCUCCAUGUCGUGAAUGAUGAAAGGCUGCUAGGAAAACAGGUGAGGGAGAGGAUGUUGGUAGUUGAGGAGACAGAAUAAAGAAUAUUAACUUUAGCUUCUUUUUAUCCUUUACCGGCGUGCUGGUCUUUCCGGUGAGUAUGAGCCGAGCUUUCGCCUUGUUCAUGUUAAAGUUCUUCAUGUAGGCUUCGUGGAUCUGCCUGACCAGAAUCUUGUGGUCCGCCAGCAUUGGACUUGCCACCUCUUUCUCCACCAUCUUGCUUUCUGCCUUUAGCUUUAGCUUCUCCGCCUGAGGCAUCCGACCAAACCGGAUGGCUUGUGCAUAAAAACAUAAAUCAUUAGAAACAGCUAAAAGACUCUCAAAGGUGAGACUCUCGCUAGGUGUUUUACUUUACAGUAAAACUACAGAGACAUCAGACAUAUCCUGCUACAGCAAACAUGCAUGUGUGCAGACACACACAAAUAUCCACCCACAAUCUGGUGCGCUCUGUUCUAUUUCCUCUCUUCUGAGGACAGCGUGUCGUCUUCCUCUCAGGUUUCUAACACUGUUCUGCCUGCAGUGGGAGGCCAUCGUAACAAACCCAAUGACCCCUCAGCAGUCAGUGCAGAUGACAGGCCAGAUGUGAAAGUAUAUGGGCCUGUAUUUUCUCAAUGUCAAGCAGGCUCCAGCAGGACAUUUUUCUUUAAAAACUCAGUCAAUGUAAAACAUGUUGAACUGGAGCCAAAUCACAGAAAGACACGCCCUGCUGUUGUUGUAAAGAACACAUACUAUGGUGUGUCAACUGUUAUGAGCAGAGUUUUAUAUUACUUAUUUUUGCCUAUAUCCAAGUUCUUUCAAUGCUAUA